rnacentral:ncRNA from 2 species
GAGAUUAGCUAGGGGAGCCGGUUACGGCUGAGAGGACACUGUCUGACCCUUUGAACCUGAUCUGGGUAACACCAGCGGAGGGAAGCAUUCGACCGUCAUC